rnacentral:rRNA from 1 species
CCUACGGGGGGCAGCAGUGAGGAAUAUUGGUCAAUGGACGAGAGUCUGAACCAGCCAAGUAGCGUGAAGGAUGACUGCCCUAUGGGUUGUAAACUUCUUUUAUAUGGGAAUAAAAUGUUCCACGUGUGGGAUUUUGUAUGUACCAUAUGAAUAAGGAUCGGCUAACUCCGUACCAGCAGCCGCGGUAAUACGGAGGAUCCGAGCGUUAUCCGGAUUUAUUGGGUUUAAAGGGAGCGUAGGUGGAUUGUUAAGUCAGUUGUGAAAGUUUGUGGCUCAACCGUAAAAUUGCAGUUGAAACUGGCAGUCUUGAGUACAGUAGAGGUGGGCGGAAUUCGUGGUGUAGCGGUGAAAUGCUUAGAUAUCACGAAGAACUCCGAUUGCGAAGGCAGUUCACUGGACUGCAACUGACACUGAGGCUCGAAAGUGUGGGUAUCAAACAGGAUUAGAUACCCCUGUAGUC